AACACUGUUAACCUGCGGUACCUGCGGAAGGAUCAUUCAUAAUAAAAGUGUUUAUGGCACUUUUCAAACAAAUCCAUAUCCACCUUGUGUGCAAUGUUUUUUUUUUAUAUAAUUGAACACCUUUCUUUAAUUGACAAUUGUAUCUGAAGAUCAGUAUUAUUAUGAAUUAACUUAAUUCAAAAUAUAACUUUUAACAAUGGAUCU
rnacentral:misc_RNA from 1 species